rfam:Myotis brandtii contig179139, whole genome shotgun sequence.
AGGCCCAGAGAGAGAGGCAGGGUCUGAUCUGCAGCCUCCGUGGCAGCUGUUGAUUAGCCAUUGCCUCUCUCUUACAGGAGU